GACGAACGCUGGCGGCGUGCUUAACACAUGCAAGUCGAACGAAGAGCGAUGGAAGCUUGCUUCUAUCAAUCUUAGUGGCGAACGGGUGAGUAACGCGUAAUCAACCUGCCCUUCAGAGGGGGACAACAGUUGGAAACGACUGCUAAUACCGCAUACGAUCUAAUCUCGGCAUCGAGGAUAGAUGAAAGGUGGCCUCUACAUGUAAGCUAUCACUGAAGGAGGGGAUUGCGUCUGAUUAGCUAGUUGGAGGGGUAACGGCCCACCAAGGCGAUGAUCAGUAGCCGGUCUGAGAGGAUGAACGGCCACAUUGGGACUGAGACACGGCCCAGACUCCUACGGGAGGCAGCAGUGGGGAAUCUUCCGCAAUGGACGAAAGUCUGACGGAGCAACGCCGCGUGAGUGAUGACGGCCUUCGGGUUGUAAAGCUCUGUUAAUCGGGACGAAAGGCCUUCUUGCGAAUAGUUAGAAGGAUGACGGUACCG
rnacentral:rRNA from 1 species